GCUGUGAUGGCCGAGUGGUUAAGCAAGCUGUGAUGGUUUCCCCAUCCAAUGGGGUUUCCCCGCGCAGGUUCGAACCCUGCUCUCAGCG